rnacentral:rRNA from 1 species
AUACGACCAUACUCAUUGGAAAACUCGGGAUCCCGUCCGCUCUCCCAUAGAUAAGCCAAUGAAGGCUGGAGUAGUAGUCGGGUCGGUGACGACCGGCGAAUGCCCGGUGUUGUAU